UACGUAGGUGGCAAGCGUUAUCCGGAAUGAUUGGGCGUAAAGGGUGCGCAGGCGGAACCAUAAGUCUGAAGUAAAAGCCAUCGGCUCAACCGAUGUAAGCUUUGGAAACUGUGGAUCUGGAGUGCAGGAGAGGACAGUGGAAUUCCAUGUGUAGCGGUAAAAUGCGUAGAUAUAUGGAGGAACACCAGUGGCGAAGGCGGCUGUCUGGCCUGUAACUGACGCUGAGGCACGAAAGCGUGGGGAUCGAACAGG
rnacentral:rRNA from 1 species